rnacentral:rRNA from 1 species
UUAAGCUACUAAGAGCAUAGGGAGAAUGCCUAGGUACCAAAAGCCGAAGAAAGACGUGAUAAGCUGCGAAAAGCCACGGGGAGAAGCAAAUAUUCAAUAAUCCGUGGAUGUCUGAAUGAGGAAACUCUAACCAAGAAAAAAGUUGGUUAAUCCAUACAUGAGUAAAGUAGUGUAUAGGAGGGGAACGUGGGGAACUGAAACAUCUAAGUACCCACAGGAAAAGAAAGAAAACUCGAUUCCUAAAGUAGUGGCGAGCGAAAUAGGAAGAGCCCAAACCAGAAGAAGAAAUUCAUCUGGGGUUCGGACUACAUAAUUGAUUCAAUGAGUUUAGUAAAAUUGUUUGGGAAAGCAAACCAAAGACGGUGAAAGUCCAGUAUACGAAAAACAAGUUGACAAGGUAGAAUCCAGAGUAGUGCGAGACACGUGAAAUCUCGUAUGAAAGAGCGGGGACCACCCCGUAAGGCUAAAUACUAAUUGGUAACCGAUAGUGAAGAAGUACCGUGAGGGAAAGUUGAAAAGAACCCCGGGAGGGGAGUGAAAUAGAACCUGAAACCCUAUGUUUACAAGCAGACAAAGCACGUUAAGGUGCGAUGUCGUACUUUUUGUAGAACGGUCCGGCGAGUUAUUUUAUAUGGCAAGGUUAAGUACUAAAGGUACGGAGCCGAAGAGAAAUCGAGUCUGAAGAGGGCGAAUAAGUCAUAUGAAAUAGACCCGAAACCGAGUGACCUAUCCAUGUCCAGGCUGAAGCUUGAGUAAAAUCAAGUGGAGGGCCGAACUCAUAGACGUUAAAAAGUCUCGGGAUGAGGUGUGGAUAGCGGAGAAAUUCCAAUCGAACUCGGAGAUAGCUGGUUCUCCUCGAAAUAGUUUUAGGACUAGCCUUGUUUCGUAGCAUUUGGGGGUAGAGCACUGAAUGAGGUAGGGGCCAACACGGUUACUGAACUCUAUCAAACUACGAAUACCAAAUGUGUAAGAACAAGAGUCAGACUGCGGGAGCUAAGUUCCGUGGUCAAAAGGGAAAGAGCCCAGAUCGUCAAUUAAGGUCCCAAAGAUAUAGUUAAGUGGAAAACGAUGUGAUUUUGCGUAAACAACCAGGAUGUUGGCUUAGAAGCAGCCAUUCAUUCAAAGAGUGCGUAAUAGCUCACUGGUCGAGUGAAGUUGCGCGGAAAAUUACCGGGGCUAAACUAUACACCGAAAUUGCGGAUUUGCAUAGAAAUAUGUAAGUGGUAGAGGAGCAUUCUAUAGUAGGACGAAGCAUAAUCGAAAGGAUAUGUGGACGAGAUAGAAGAGAGAAUGCCGGAAUAAGUAGCGAAAGCAUGGUGAGAAUCCAUGCCAUCGAAAGUCUAAGGUUUCCUGGGGAAGGUUCGUCCGCCCAGGGUAAGUCGGGACCUAAGGAGAGGCCGAAAAGCGUAUCCGAUGGACAGCAGGUAGAAAUUCCUGCACUACGUAAUACUUAAAAGACAUAAAUGACACAGGAGUGGAAGAUAAGCGAGGAAGAGGAAAGACUCGUAUCGAAAGAUAUAGUGAAAAUUAAAGUAACGAAUUAUCAAGAAGCUAAUGGCGAGAAAAGUUUAUGGAUAUUGUAUUAAGUACCCGUACCGCAAACCGACACAGGUAGAUGAGGAGAAGAUCCUAAGAUGAGCGAGAGAAGCAUUGUUAAGGAACUCGGCAAACUGACCCCGUAACUUCGGAAUAAGGGGUGCUGGAGUAGAAUCCAGUCGCAGAGAAUAGUCCCAAGCAACUGUUUAACAAAAACACAGGUUUCUGCUAAAUCGAAAGAUGAAGUAUAGGAGCUGACACCUGCCCAGUGCUGGAAGGUUAAGGGAAAGAGUUAGACGCAAGUCGAAGCUUAGAACUAAAGCCCCAGUGAACGGCGGCCGUAACUAUAACGGUCCUAAGGUAGCGAAAUUCCUUGUCAGGU